GACGAACGCUGGCGGCGUGCUUAACACAUGCAAGUCGAACGGAAAGGCCCUGCUUGCAGGGUACUCGAGUGGCGAACGGGUGAGUAACACGUGGGUGAUCUGCCCUGCACUUCGGGAUAAGCCUGGGAAACUGGGUCUAAUACCGGAUAGGAGCCAUUUUUAGUGUGAUGGUUGGAAAGUUUUUUCGGUGUAGGAUGAGCUCGCGGCCUAUCAGCUUGUUGGUGGGGUAAUGGCCUACCAAGGCGGCGACGGGUAGCCGGCCUGAGAGGGUGGACGGCCACAUUGGGACUGAGAUACGGCCCAGACUCCUACGGGAGGCAGCAGUGGGGAAUAUUGCACAAUGGGCGCAAGCCUGAUGCAGCGACGCCGCGUGGGGGGUGACGGCCUUCGGGUUGUAAACUCCUUUCGCUAGGGACGAAGCUUUUGUGACGGUACCUAGAUAAGAAGCACCGGCUAACUACGUG
rnacentral:rRNA from 1 species